rnacentral:rRNA from 1 species
UACGAAGGGGGCUAGCGUUGCUCGGAAUUACUGGGCGUAAAGGGCGCGUAGGCGGGUAUCUAAGUUGGGGGUGAAAUCCUGGAGCUCAACUCCAGAACUGCCUUUGAUACUGGGAAUCUUGAGUUCGGGAGAGGUGAGUGGAACUGCGAGUGUAGAGGUGAAAUUCGUAGAUAUUCGCAAGAACACCAGUGGCGAAGGCGGCUCACUGGCCCGGUACUGACGCUGAGGUGCGAAAGCGUGGGGAGCAACA